rnacentral:misc_RNA from 1 species
GAAAUGCGAUAAGUAAUGUGAAUUGCAGAAUUCCGUGAAUCAUCGAAUCUUUGAACGCACAUUGCGCCCUCUGGCAUUCCGGGGGGCAUGCCUGUCCGAGCGUCAUUACGCACCCUCAAGCCCGGCUUGUGUGAUGGGCCCUGGCGUUGGGGAUCGGCGGAAGCCCCCUGCGGGCACAACGCCGUCCCCCAAAUACAGUGGCGGUCCCGCCGCAGCUUCCAUUGCGUAGUAGCUAACACCUCGCAACUGGAGAGCGGCGCGGCCACGCCGUAAAACACCCAACUUCUGAAUGUUGACCUCGAAUCAGGUAGGAAUACCCGCUGAACUUAAGC